rnacentral:rRNA from 1 species
UGGGGAAUUUUGGACAAUGGGCGAAAGCCUGAUCCAGCAAUGCCGCGUGUGUGAAGAAGGCCUUCGGGUUGUAAAGCACUUUUGUCCGGAAAGAAAUCCUUGGCUCUAAUACAGUCGGGGGAUGACGGUACCGGAAGAAUAAGCACCGGCUAACUACGUGCCAGCAGCCGCGGUAAUACGUAGGGUGCAAGCGUUAAUCGGAAUUACUGGGCGUAAAGCGUGCGCAGGGCGGUUUGCUAAGACCGAUGUGAAAUCCCCGGGCUCAACCUGGGAACUGCAUUGGUGACUGGCAGGCUAGAGUAUGGCAGAGGGGGGUAGAAUUCCACGUGUAGCAGUGAAAUGCGUAGAGAUGUGGAGGAAUACCGAUGGCGAAGGCAGCCCCCUGGGCCAAAUACUGACGCUCAUGCACGAAAAGCGUGGGGAGCAAAACAGGAUUAGAUACCCUGGUAGUCCACGCCCUAAAACGAUGUCAACUAGUUGUUGGGGAUUCAUUCCUUAGUAACGUAGCUAACGCGUGAAGUUGACCGCCUGGGGAGUACGGUCGC